rnacentral:pre_miRNA from 1 species
UGGAAGACUUGUGAUUAGAUUGUUACGCAUAUUCCCUUUUGUGAUCAUGUAAAUGAGAAGCAAAUGAACCUCUUAACAACUAUCACGGUCUUCCAAG